UACGAAGGGUGCAAGCGUUACUCGGAAUUACUGGGCGUAAAGCGUGCGUAGGUGGUUUGUUAAGUCUGUCGUGAAAGCCCUGGGCUCAACCUGGGAACUGCGAUGGAAACUGGCUGACUAGAAUGUGGCAGAGGGUAGCGGAAUUCCUGGUGUAGCAGUGAAAUGCGUAGAUAUCAGGAGGAACAUCCAUGGCGAAGGCAGCUACCUGGGCCAACAUUGACACUGAGGCUCAUGCACGAAAGCGUGGGGAGCAAACAGG
rnacentral:rRNA from 1 species